UACAGAGGGGGCAAGCGUUGUUCGGAAUUACUGGGCGUAAAGGGCGCGUAGGCGGCCUGCUAAGUCGAACGUGAAAUCCCCGAGCUCAACUCGGGAACUGCGUCCGAUACUGGCAGGCUUGAAUCCGGGAGAGGGAUGCGGAAUUCCGGGUGUAGCGGUGAAAUGCGUAGAUAUCUGGAGGAACACCGGUGGCGAAGGCGGCAUCCUGGACCGGCAUUGACGCUGAGGCGCGAAAGCCAGGGGAGCAAACGGG
rnacentral:rRNA from 1 species